AGAGUUUGAUCCUGGCUCAGAAUCAACGCUGGCGGCGCGCUUAACACAUGCAAGUCGAACGAGAAAGGGGAGCAAUCCCUGAGUAAAGUGGCGUACGGGUGAGUAACACGUGGGUAAUCUACCUCUGGGUGGGGAAUAACGCUGGGAAACCGGCGCUAAUACCGCAUAACACUGAAAGGUCAAAGGCGCAAGUCGCCUGGAGAGGAGCCCGCGGCUGAUUAGCUAGUUGGUGAGGUAAAGGCUCACCAAGGCAAUGAUCGGUAGCCGGCCUGAGAGGGCACACGGCCACACUGGCACUGAAACACGGGCCAGACUCCUACGGGAGGCAGCAGUGGGGAAUCUUGCACAAUGGGGGCAACCCUGAUGCAGCGACGCCGCGUGAGUGAUGAAGCCCUUCGGGGUGUAAAGCUCUUUCGGCAGGGACGAUAAUGACGGUACCUGAAGAAGAAGCUGCGGCUAACUACGUGCCAGCAGCCGCGGUAAUACGUAGGCAGCGAGCGUUGUUCGGAGUUACUGGGCGUAAAGAGUGCGUAGGCGGUUUUCUAAGUUUGGUGUGAAAUCUCCCGGCUUAACUGGGAGGGUGCGCCGAAAACUGGAAGGCUGGAGUAUGGGAGAGGUAAGCGGAAUUCCUGGUGUAGCGGUGAAAUGCGUAGAUAUCAGGAGGAACACCUGCGGUGUAGACGGCUUACUGGACCAUAACUGACGCUGAGGCACGAAAGCGUGGGUAGCAAACAGGAUUAGAUACCCUGGUAGUCCACGCCCUAAACGAUGCAUACUUGGUGUGGGUAGUUCAUUCUAUCCGUACCGGAGCUAACGCGUUAAGUAUGCCGCCUGGGGAGUACGGCCGCAAGGCUAAAACUCAAAGGAAUUGACGGGGGCUCACACAAGCGGUGGAGCAUGUGGCUUAAUUCGAAGCAACGCGAAGAACCUUACCCGGGUUUGACAUGCAUGGAUGUUUCUCGGCGAUGAGUUGAGAAAUUACCCGCAAGGGUGAAACAUGCACAGGUGUUGCACGGCUGUCGUCAGCUCGUGCUGUGAAGUGUCGGGUUAAGUCCCUUAACGAGCGAAACCCUUGCCGUCAGUUACCAUCAGGUAAUGCUGGGGACUCUGGCGGGACUGCCGGCGUUAAGCCGGAGGAAGGUGGGGAUGACGUCAAGUCAUCGUGGCCCUUAUGCCCGGGGAUGCACACGUGCUACAAUGGCGACGACAAAGGGCUGCAAGACCGUAAGGUGGAGCAAAUCCCAAAAAAGUCGCCCCAGUUCGGAUUGGAGGCUGCAAUUCGCCUCCAUGAAGUUGGAAUCGCUAGUAAUCGCGUAUCAGCUACGACGCGGUGAAUGUGUUCCUGAUCCUUGUACACACCGCCCGUCAAGUCAUGGAAGCUGGUAGUACCCGAAGUCCCCUUAGCCAACCGCAAGGAGGCGGGGGCCGACGGUAAGACCGGUGACUGGGACUAAGUCGUAACAAGGUAACCGU
rnacentral:rRNA from 1 species